UACGAAGGGGGCUAGCGUUGCUCGGAAUCACUGGGCGUAAAGGGUGCGUAGGCGGGUUUCUAAGUCAGAGGUGAAAUCCUGGAGCCCAACUCCAGAACUGCCUUUGAUACUGGAAGUCUUGAGUAUGGGAGAGGUGAGUGGAACUGCGAGUGUAGAGGUGAAAUUCGUAGAUAUUCGCAAGAACACCAGUGGCGAAGGCGGCUCACUGGCCCAUUACUGACGCUGAGGCACGAAAGCGUGGGGAGCAAACAGG
rnacentral:rRNA from 1 species